AGUCCAGACCAAGAGAAAAGGAGCCUGACCUGUAUGGGCUGCAUCAAUGAAGUCCCCUGUGCAUUGCCUUCUGAAUGGACACAGCCAGUGGGAAACUGGAGAGACGGAAGGUUGGAGCAAGAAAGAAGAUAGUGCAUUUGUUCCCUGGUUUCCUCAGGCUGGCUUUUUCAUGCACGGAAGAUCAGCGCUCCUCUCAAAUUGGCCACCAGAGGUAGAUGCCAGGUCUGAAUGCUGUGAAGAAUGAGCCACGCAGGAAAAUAAAGAUGUGGGAGUAAAGCACUCCAGGCAGAGGGAACAGCCUAUGAAUGAUGUUAUAGACAAGACCCUUCACCCAUCACAGCUCCCUAUUCACAGCUGCUGGCAGGACAUCUGAUGA
rnacentral:lncRNA from 10 species